rnacentral:misc_RNA from 1 species
UUUGUUAGAACUUUACCUGAGACAACAACCUUUCUAUGCAACUUACAGACUAUGCUGCUGAGAGGCUGUUGGCAUCUCAAGAAAUUGCCUUUAGAAAUGCAAAAUCUGAUCAACCUGCGUCAUCUUGAAUAGAGGAUCUGGUGAUGGAAGGUGGUGAUAGGGGUGUACUUGAAAAGAUGAAACCUCAUGGAUAUCUGAAAAAUCUCGCCAUAUUGAAUUAUGAUGGUAUUCAAUUUCCAUCAUCGAUAGGGGAUCCUUUCUUUAGUAACCUGGUGCGUUUAGAGUUGGUGAAUUGCGAGAAAU